UAAGAACAAACAGGUACAUGGCUUUGCAUAGCCACUAAUGUCUCUAAAUAAUUUGUAUCUAAUGAUUAAUCACUAAUUACUGCCAACCCUGGGGCUCAGUCAUGGAGCUAGACUGGCCGAGGGACACUCUCAGUUGUCGGGGAGGGGAAGGGAGUGUGGUGGCACAUACGUGCCUCCUGUGCAUUUAGCUCCUUGCGCUCCAGCUGUCCAUUUAACCCCAGGUGGCUGCGGGCGAGCUUGGCUUCCAACGGAAUGUAGCUCAGACUGUGGUCUCUGUGGGAAGCCUUGCUCCAAAAGCACUCUCUUAGUUUGGGUUCCUCCAAAACCAACCUUGGGACAGGGACCUAGGUGCAAGUAGUUUAUCUGAAAGGUGAUCCCAGAAAAUAGGAGGGAGGGCAUGGGGAAGGAAGACAAGGAAGGGAGAAAAGCCAAUAAAGUGAAUGAAUGAGCAGAUUUCUCUGGGCAACUGGGUUUGGUCCUGCUGGAGACCCUCUGAAAAAUUAUGUGGAUACACUUAAGAACCAUCCUGUCCCUCACUGGGGGAGGGGUUUCACAUAGAGAGUAACUUUUCCUUGACUUCUAGACUGUGUAGGGUGGAACAAGCUCCCUCGAUGCUGGAGAAAGCCCUCUGGCAGAGAAGAAGCUGCUGCCCCUGUGGGGGAUACAGUCUCCUACUGGUGCCUUUCAUUGGCUGAGCUCAACCGGAAGCAGAAGGAAGUGUUGCCUGGAUGGUGCAGUCCACAGAGGUCCAUCUUCUGAAGAACAGCACAGGGCAAAGAGAGCCAGAAGGAUGGGGCAGAAGGGUGGCAAUGAGAACACAGUCUGAUUGAUUGCUUCCAGAAUGGCUCUCUGCUUUCUGUCCAUUCCCACAGUCAUCAUCUUUGUUCCAGCCUCGUCAUUCCACCCCUAGACUAUUGGGACAACCUCCUAACCCAUCUCCCUGUCUCCAAUCCUCCAUUCCUAAUGUCUGCAACAUAGAGUCCGUCCAUUCCCAUUUCAGAGAACUGUGUUCCCCAUUCUCUACUCAUGACUGACGAUGGCCAGGUAAAAGGCAAUUUAGGGGACAAAAAGAUGAUUCCAAGACUUCACAUCUUAUUUUUAGUAAUGAGGAUAGAUAUUAAGAAGCAGAAAUGGAUAAUUUCACCAUAAAAAGGUGUGGUUAAAAAGAUGUGUAAACUUGAGUCUUUCAUGCCUUAGCAUCAUAGUCGAGGCUCUUCUCAGGCCAAAUUUUCCCUUCCAGAUUUGUUUUCUAAGACUUGUGUUCUACUCCAUUGUUCCAUGUACCUUGGGUCCCAGCCCUGCUGAUCGCCUGACAUCCUUUGACUGCACAUACCAUCCACGCUGAGAAUUCUAGGUCUUUGCUGUUCUUCCAGCCCAGAAAGCCCAUCCCCAGCCGGCCCUGGUGGUUGUCUGGUCAGCUGCUCAUAGUUAGUGGAGCCAGAUUGCCAGACUUGUAAGACCUCAUAAUCCGAGUGUGGUACGUAGACCAGCAGCACAGCAGCACCUGGAAGCUGUUAGAACGCUAACUCUUGGGCUCACUGUACCUAGAAGCAGAACCCUGCAUCUGGACCAGAUCUCCAGGUUUAUGUCAAACUGAGGUCUGUCACUGCUGCUGAGAGGAUUCAGCCCAGGGGGUCUGCUGUAUGUCCUGUUCCAAGGAGGCAGCCCAAGACAGUGGAUUACUGAUGCUUCAGACCUGAUCUGCUGGGGAGCCCUGGCCUAGGAGACAGGAUACCUGACAAGUGGUCCCACUGUGCCAUCUUGUAAAGCUGUUGAACCACCCAGUGCUGAGUAUCUCCUGGAGCAAAGGAAGCGCGAUCUUCACCACCUACCCUCUUCUUGUGGAUGUUGCAAAUGCACUGUAAAUUAGGGACAUCGCAAGAGCUCCUAUGUGUGCUCCCCUCUGGAAGGGCUUCAUUCCAAAGUUAAGCACUUUCUAGGUCUUUGAAGGCUAGUAUAUGAGUCAGGAUUUUACCAGAGAAAUGAAAUUGGUAGAAUGUAUGAUACUGUCAUAUAUAUAGUAUAUGUAUAUAGUAGUGUAUACAUUUGUAUAUACGUGUGUGUGUGUGCGUGUCAAGAGAUUUAGUGCAAGGGCUCGGCUUACACAACUGUAAGCGUUGGCUGGGCAACCUAUAGGGUAGGCCUUCAGGAAGGGCAGACUGAAAACUCUCAGUAGGAGCUGAAGCUGCAGUCCCCAGGCAGGAUUUCUUCUUCCUCAGGGAAACCUCAGUUGUACUUGAAAGGUCUUUCAACUGAUUGGAUCAGACCCACCAGGAUUAUUGAGGAUAUUCUCUUGAAAGUCAGCUGGUUAUAGAUGUUAAUUACACCUACAGAAUACCUUCACAGAAGCACCUAGAUUAGUGUUUGCUUGAAUAACCAGCUAUUACCAGCCUAGUUAAGUUGACGGACAAAAUUGACCAUUGCAGCUAGAAUCUGGAAGUGAUCAUCCAAUUUAGCAAUAUUGCCUUCACUUGGUUUAGGUGGAGAGAAAAUAAUACUAUUAUGUCCGUGGGUUCAGUUGAGUUUUUAGAGAGAGAUUCUCUUCCAAAUGUUUCAUUCAUUCACUCUUCCAUCAGACAUAAUUUGGAGCCUCUGCACUGAGGUAGGAGCUAGAGGCACAUGGAUGAAUGAAUGGUGGUUAGUCUAUGCCACAGUGGAGCUUACCGUAUGGUGGAUGAAAUGAGCAUAUACACAGAGGACAACAUGGUGAAUGCGACGAGGGAGAUAUGCAUGUGGAUUUCAAGAAACCUCACCCAGGGAAAUCAGAGGGGGCUUCCAGGAGGAGGUAAUGCCUGCAUGUGGAAGAUGGGGAAAGGGGAAGAAAGAGGGGCAUGUGUAUAGAGAGGCCAUCCCAAGCGGAGAGGACACAAAGUUAAGCAAAUGCACCAAGGUGAGGGGUGCCAUGGAUUUGUCAGGGACUAUAAGCAGGUUUGUGGUCCAGGAAUGAGGAGAAUGAGGUGUGGAGAUUAGCGAGGCUGGGGAGAUGGCAAGGACUGCAUUCUGAAGAGCCUCAUAGAGGAGUUUGGACUUACCUGCAGGUGGCAGGGACAACUUUGUCACCUCACCUCUGCAUGUUGAAAGGGCCCCCUUGGAAUCUGUGGGAAAGAUGGGAUUAAUGGGGACAAAACUAGGGAGAGGAAGGCCCAUUAGAGGCUAGCAAUACUGAAGGUCACGACCAGAGCAAUUAUUUUAGGUUUGGAAGGAAGGCAUCCAGAAAUACUUGGGAGGUGAACUCCACAGAAUUGGGUGGUUGGUUGGACCUGUGGGUGUGUAAGGAGAAGCAAGAGGUAGAAGAUGGAACUAUUGCUUCGAGGGAGGGCACAGGGGGAGGAAAAGAUUUAUAGAGGAAGCUGAUGAGCUCAGUUGGGGAUAUAAUGAGUUUGAGAUGUCUGAGGGACACACAGCUGCCGGUUGUCGGCUUGACAUGUGGAUGUAGGGCUCAGGGAAGAGACCUGGGCUGGGAAUUUGGGACUGUAGGUGUUUGGAAGCCAUUAAAAAUAGGUGGUAGUACGAAGCAUGCAGUAGAUAAGAUCAUCCAGAAGCAGACCCAUGAGACAGACAUUGUUUCCAAUUCACAGAUGAGAAAACUGGGUUAAGGCUCCUAUUUUGUGAAAAAAAGGGCAAACACCAGCGGGAAGUGCAUUUGACAUGUGUUAUCAUUUUCCCCUACUUGUGAAUGAAUGCUACUAGGUUAGCACUGAGAUGCAGCCCUCUCUCCCCUGGGAUAGGACUAGGACUCAGGGAGGUCACACAGCUCCUGGGUGUCAUGUGUGGCUAGAACACAUGCCCUCUAAAUUCCAACCAGGUCUUUCCCCCUCUGUGUGGUGCAUAGGGGGCAAUUUUGACUGUGUGGAUGAGGGAGAGCACCUGUGGUACUGGGGACCUGGGGUCAGCAGGGUGGUGGGAGGCUUUCAGGCAGGAACUCCAAGCAAGAAGGGGAGAGGUCCCAGGGAAAGGGGCCUGGGCUGUUCGAACUGCACAGCACGCAGGCAUGCCACAGAGCUUUCUCUCUCACACCAAGGCAUGUGAUGGUCCAAGUGAAUGCACGACCCCCCUACUACCGGUGGUGUUCAAAAAAAUAACCUCAGUUGUCAUUAAUCGCUUAGUAUAAUUUAGAAUCAGCAUGAAAAAGAGGGAAAGAAAUGGUGAGCAAGGGAAAGAGUUCACCCAGGAGGGAGACAGGGCAGCCUCUGAAAGACUCCCUGAGCUGUGCUGACAGCCAGGUUUACCUGGACCUCUGAGCUGCAGCCAAUGUUUUGGUAGCUAAGGAGUCCCAUGUGGGUAAUCUGACCCUAACCUGACUGCAGUGGUCAGUGAGCCCUGCUCUGCACAGACCAUUCAGCGAGAUGUUAGCUACCACCCAGUGUACUUUGCACAAAGGCAAAAAGAUGUGUAUGGAAUCCUGGAACGUUAGUUGCUAUAGCAACAUCUGUCUUUAUUAUCACCUAAACCCAUUCACUGCAUAAAUAUAGUAACUUUUUGACUUCCCCACCCCCCAGUCCACUUGGUAGGAUUUAAAAAGAAAUUGCAACAGCCAAAAAAUAAAAAUAAAAAAUAAAAAAGACCCACGAACUGCAGUAUCAUGGGUGUAUGCACAGAAGAGGUUUUGGAGGUGGGGAGAGCAUGAGGACACUUGUGGGUGGGGUAGAUUUUCACAGGUUGAAAGUUAGUGGAGAUGGCUACUCUUACAACCAAAGCAGAAAGGGCAAAUUCCUAGAAGUCAUGGGACAAAUUUGCAUGGAAUGCUGAAAAAAAAAAGGGGGAAUGAAGGAGGAGAGGUACAGAAGAGGGAAAUAUUACGGUGGAAAGAAGUCGAAUUUGUAAUCAGAUAAAGCUGAGCUCAAAUCUUGGCAUUCUGCUUAUACCUGUUUGACCUUGGGUCACUCAGUCCCCUGAGCCUGUUUGCUCAGGACUGAGCCUGUUUGCUCAUCUGCAGAGUGGCAGAACCAUAUCCCACAGCCUAUUUCAGCAACCUGAUCUCCUUAUAUGAGGCCUGAAGACUCCAUCUCUAAUGUUGGGCCAGAGAGUGAGAUGUGCUCACCAGCAGGAGGAGAUUUCCUAGGCACCAGCUCUGGUCUCUGCAGUGAAUGGCAGAAAGGGACAGGCCCAGCAGGGGCUGGGGAGAGUGACCAUCAUCAGUCUGGACGAGGGGCUAGGCCAGCCAGCCGGGGCAGGUAAGGUGCAGCAGGGCAGGCAAGGCACAGCAGGGCAAAAUAGGGAGUGGGAAGGAGAAGUCUCCUGCCAAUGGAUGUUCCAUGGGUUGUUUUUCCUUCUGAAGACCGAGUUUCUGUAUGUGGAGCUAUUAACCAUUGGGAGGGGGUGGAGAAGGAAGCCAUGGACAGAAAUCUAACAUCUAACAGCCAUUUUUGGAAAGCCUGCUAUGAGCCAGGCACUGUGCUGAGAACCAGGGGAAGUAAAGAUGGACAGACAGUCCCACUGAGGCCAGAGGGAGAGGAAGGACAGAAACUUUUCUCUCACACCCAUCCUGACCCCGCCCCCCGGGCUUCUUGCUCCCUGAGUCGAACUAUUUUGUUUCAUUGGACUCUAAAUAACAAAAGCAAACACUUACAUAGCACUGGCUACUUGCCAGGCACUAUGCUAAGCGCUUCAUAAAUAUUAAUUUGUUUAAUCCCCACAAUGAUUGCAUAAAGUGGAAACAUAUUGUCCCACUUUGCAGAUGAGUAAACUGAGGCAGAGAGUGACAUGCACAGGAUUUGUGUGGUCUUAUAAAGUACUGGCUCCAAGGGUGAGACCCAACCUGAGAGCUGCUGCUGCUGCUUUUUUUUAAAAUAAUUCUCAUGAGAGAACACAACAUAAACAUUUAGCCUGAACCUGGCUACACUAAGUGCCUAAUAAAUGUUGGCUCUUACUGCUAUGAUUAUUAUUCUCUAGUGGAACUGCUGUCAGGCCCAUGAAGUUCAAUCAUUUUUUUCUGUUUUUGAAAAUGGCUCUCCUUGUCUCCCAAAUCUUGGCUUGAGAGAACCUCUUCCCUUUGUGACUGGGAAUCUCUAGAAAUACAUCAAUUCCUUAGAAAGGAAGGGGGUGAGGACAAGAAAGGAGCCAGGCAGCAGGACUAGGUCUCUGAAGCCAGAGUCAUUGCCCUGGUUAUAUUCAGACAGGCCUGGGUUCAAAUCCUACCUCAGGCAUUACUAGCUGCCUCCUGAGGCAAGUCGCUUGAACUUCUGAACAUCGCUCGUAGUGCUGUUCUGGUGGUUAAAGGGCAGGAGUGCCGUGCCUGCUACAUAGGAAGUGCUUGGUGGAGGUAGCUCUUAUGAUAGUUAGGAUAGUGAUGUUGAUGGCAAGGAUGGUGAUGACGAAGAUGAUGGUUCCUGCUCCCAUUUUCUUUCUCUCUCUGCUUCUCAUCAGGUUGCUGAAGAGAGGCAUGAAAAGCAGUGAGCAUCUUGUGCAGGCUCUGAGAGGUCCUAGAGUAAAAGCAUCUGUUUAGUUAUGUUGAACCUAGAUUUCCCAAAACUUAUUUGAGCACAGAGUUCUUUAAGCAGAGAACCUUGGGCUGGGAGACAGAGGCUCCUGUACCUAGGAUACCAUUGUCAUAGACUGCAGUGGAGUUGGGCACUCCUGCUGCAUCAGGGGAGUGUAUAGGCAGUGACCGAGGCUCUUUCUUCCCCUUCCUCCUGUCCUGGAGGGCUGUAUUGACCUAUGAAGGGUGGUGGUCGGACUGUGCCCUAUAUUAGUACUAAAAUGAUGCUACUUUGCCUAAGACUUUCCAGGUUUUAGCUCUGAAAAUCCUGCAUCUUGGGAAAGCCUUAAUCCUGGAAGAAUUGGCUCGGAAGGACACCCCAGUUUACUCCCUUUCUCUGCCCCCUCCAUCAUCUUCAUGAGGCUAGACAGCUUCCCCUGGCUGAGAGUGCAAAUAUAGUGAGUGGGAAUACAGAUGAGAAUAUAAAUAUGUGGAUAAUUCAGAAUAUGAUAACUCUGGAUCCAGAUGAAAACCCAGCUGUGAUAACUGGAUAUAUAAAUAAGAAUGCAAACUCCACGGUAAGAAAACAGCUUCUAUGAUUCCCGCAAAGACCUCAUUUUCCAAUACCAUGGCUUCCAGUCAAGCCACCAAUCCCUUUCUUGUGCUGAGGGCAAGACUAGUUUGCUGACCUCUGCAGGGGAGGGAGGGAUCCUAGUGGGUGUGUUUCAGGAAGCUGGCCCUGCCAGCCUGGGGAGAAAAUGCUGAGAUGAGUGCAAGCUGGAGGCACUGAAGACUCUCAUCCUGGCUGGCUGGGCACUGUGGCAGGUGACAAGGUACUGAUGGAAGCACUGUUUAUCACGUCAACAAGGCAUGAACCAAGGACCUUUGAUGUCUCAGCCCAUUUCCCUGCCAGGCACUAGCUUUAUCCUCCUUGUAGAUAUCAUGGGGCCAUUGCUCUAAAAUUAGGAGGAAUAGAGCAUCUAUUUAAGUCUUUCCCACUCACUUGUAGAGCUGUCUUGUCUUCCCCAUGCCCCUUCAUAUCUUCCUUUUCUCAGUGUGCUUUGUUAAAAUUGUGAUCAAGUCUCCAAAUGUCUUUAUAGCUUCUUCUAGACUGUUUUGGUUACCUGCUACUGCAUAAUAAGCCCCCCAAAACUUACUAUGCUCACAAAUUCUAUGGAUCAGGAAUUCUAACAGAGCGCUGUGGGGAUGGCUCGUCUGUUUCAGGAUGUCUGGGGGCUGCAGCUGGGAAUAUUUGAACAACUGGGAAUAGCUUUAUUAUUAUUAUUAUUAUUUUUUAAAAGAUUUUAUUUAUUUAUUUGACAGAGAUAGAGACAGCUAGCGA